UAACCACUCCACCUCUUAUUGUUAUUAAGUAGAAGAACGGCAAAGACCACACCAGCUACUUUCCCUGGGCUACCUGAAAACAGGUGACCGGCCAAGAAGAACGUCUUGUACGUCGACCAGAUAGGUUCUAAUUUUUAAGAAAUCUUGCCAGAAGAAAGAUGGAAAACAAAAGGCAAAAAAGCAGCCUAAUUCUUAAAGGCCAGAAGAAAAGGGUGGCUCGAAGUCCUCCCAAUAGUCCAAAUCAUCUGAUUCAUUUAUGGAAUGGAAGGAAAAGGACAAAACACUGUUGCAUUGUUCCAUCUCGGGAUGUCCUUUAAAGGCACACUUUCCCGGGAGCUAAACCGAACACGGGAACUGGAACGAGAGCUGAGGUCCGGGCUGGUGUCUGACAAACCUGGAAUGUC